AUUGAACGCUGGCGGCAGGCCUAACACAUGCAAGUCGAACGAGUGGCGGACGGGUGUGUAAUGUCUGGGACACUGCCUGCUGGAGGGGGAUAACUACUGGAAACGGUAGCUAAUACCGCAUACCAUCGGAUGUGCCCAGAUGGGAUUAGCUAGUAGGUAGGGUAAAGGCUCACCUAGGCGACGAUCCCUAGCUGGUCUGAGAGGAUGACCAGCCACACUGGAACUGAGACACGGUCCAGACUCCUAGGGGAGGAAGCAGUGGGGAAUAGUGGAAAAUGGGCGCAAGCCUGAUGCAGACAGGCCGCGUGUAUGAAGAAGGCCUUCGGGUUGUAAAGUACUUUCAGCGGGGAGGCGUUACCCGCAGAAGAAGCACCGGCUAACUCCGUGCCAGCAGCCGCGGUAAUAC
rnacentral:rRNA from 1 species